rnacentral:lncRNA from 1 species
CUCACAGAGAGUUGGGCAGCGCAGCAGAGGUGAGAGCCUGCAGCCAGAGUGGCCAGCUGGGAGCGCACAGCAUCCCAGGCACCUGGGACCAGCCGGGCCUGCCAUCUGACACCAGAAAGAGGAGCCCAUCAUGUCUGGGUGCAGGAAGAGCCGGGCCGGGCUCUGCUGCGCCUUGGAAGCGCGAGCGGCUAGACACUGCCGCUCAGAGGUGCUGCCAGGUCCUCUCGACUGAGUGUCUAAGCUGCAUUUCAGAAUUCAAGGUGUGUCAACAGCAUGAGCACGAGCGUGACUGCACCUGCCUACCAAGCACCCAGGUCAAGGGAGACCCCCACACAAGCCUGCAGAUGCUCAUGGGGAGACAUGUUUGGUGACCGCUGGGCGUGGUUUUCAUAGCUUAUGUGCUCUCUGUAUGUUCGAAGCAUUUCUUAGUGUUUUUUCCAAAGGAGAACAGUGAUUCCUGACAUUUUAUAUGAAACCCUCAUUUAAAUAUUACAAAGAUUAUAAAUUCUUAACUGAUCAUCUCCCUUUGGAAUAUACAAUUGAGAAAAUGCCUAGAGACUGAAAGUUACAUUGUACAAAUUUUUUUUACGUGAAUUUGAAUUAAUCAAAUUGUGUCUACUCACCCUGAAAGAGAGUGAAAGAAC